rnacentral:rRNA from 1 species
CCCUUAGACGUUCUGGGCCGCACGCGCGCUACACUGACCAGUGCAACAAGCAUCCGUCCUUGGCCGACAGGCCCGGGCAAUCUUUGAACGCUGGUCGUGAUGGGGAUAGACUUUUGCAAUUUUUGGUCUUCAACGAGGAAUUCCUAGUAAACGCAAGUCAUCAACUUGCAUUGAUUACGUCCCUGCCCUUUGUACACACCGCCCGUCGAACCUACCGAUUGAAUGGUCCGGUGAAGCCUCCGGAUUGGCGCGCACCUCGGUGCCGCCGAGAAGUUGGCUAAACCUUACCAUUUAGAGGAAGGUGAAGUCGUAACA